rnacentral:rRNA from 1 species
UUGGAGGGCAAGUCUGGUGCCAGCAGCCGCGGUAAUUCCAGCUCCAAUAGCGUAUAUUAAAGUUGCUGCAGUUAAAAAGCUCGUAGUUGAAUUUCGGGACCAUCAUGUCGGUCGUGCCUCGGUACGUACUGGUAUUGUUGGUUUCUCCCUUCUGACGAACCAUGAUGUCAUUUAUUUGGUGUUGUGGGGAAUCAGGACUGUUACUUUGAAAAAAUUAGAGUGUUUAAAGCAGGCUCACGCUUGAAUACAUUAGCAUGGAAUAAUGAAAUAGGGCGUUUGAUUCUAUUUUGUUGGUUUCUAGGAUCGACGUAAUGAUUAAUAGGGAUAGUUGGGGGCAUUAGUAUUCAAUUGUCAGAGGUGAAAUUCUUGGAUUUAUUGAAGACUAACUACUGCGAAAGCAUUUGCCAAGGAUGUUUUCAUUAAUCAAGAACGAAAGUUAGGGGAUCGAAGACGAUCAGAUACCGUCGUAGUCUUAACCAUAAACUAUGCCGACUAGGGAUCGGAUGAUGUUAAUUUUUUAAUGACUCAUUCGGCGCCUUACGGGAAAC